rnacentral:rRNA from 1 species
CCUACGGGAGGCAGCAGUGAGGAAUAUUGGUCAAUGGGCGGGAGCCUGAACCAGCCAAGUCGCGUGAGGGAAGACGGUCCUAUGGAUUGUAAACCUCUUUAGGCGGGGAGCAAGGCCGGGCACGUGUGCCCGGAGGGAGAGUACCCGCAGAAGAAGCAGCGGCUAACGCCGUGCCAGCAGCCGCGGUAAUACGGAGGAUGCGAGCGUUAUCAGGAUGGAUUGGGUUUAAAGGGUGCGUAGGCGGAUUUUUAAGUCAGCGGUAAACUGUCCGGGCUCAACCCGGGCCGGCCGUUGAAACUGGGGAUCUUGAGUGGGCGAGAAGUAUGUGGAAUUCGUGGUGUAGCGGUGAAAUGCCUAGAUAUCACGCAGAACUCCGAUUGCGAAGGCAGCAUACCGGCGCCCGACUGACGCUGAGGCACGAAAGCGUGGGGAUCGAACAGGAUUAGAUACCCCUGUAGUC